rnacentral:rRNA from 1 species
CCUACGGGUGGCUGCAGUGGGGAAUAUUGCACAAUGGGCGCAAGCCUGAUGCAGCCAUGCCGCGUGUGUGAAGAAGGCCUUCGGGUUGUAAAGCACUUUCAGCGGGGAGGAAGGCGUUAAGGUUAAUAACCUUGGCGAUUGACGUUACCCGCAGAAGAAGCACCGGCUAACUCCGUGCCAGCAGCCGCGGUAAUACGGAGGGUGCAAGCGUUAAUCGGAGUUACUGGGCGUAAAGCGCACGCAGGCGGUCUGUCAAGUCGGAUGUGAAAUCCCCGGGCUCAACCUGGGAACUGCAUUCGAAACUGGCAGGCUAGAGUCUUGUAGAGGGGGGUAGAAUUCCAGGUGUAGCGGUGAAAUGCGUAGAGAUCUGGAGGAAUACCGGUGGCGAAGGCGGCCCCCUGGACAAAGACUGACGCUCAGGUGCGAAAGCGUGGGGAGCAAACAGGAUUAGAUACCCGAGUAGUC